rnacentral:rRNA from 1 species
UACGGGGGGAGCAAGCGUUGUUCGGAUUUACUGGGCGUAAAGGGCGCGUAGGCGGUCAGCACAAGUCAGUUGUGAAAUCUCCGGGCUUAACUCGGAAAGGUCAACUGAUACUGUGCGACUAGAGUGCAGAAGGGGCAACUGGAAUUCUCGGUGUAGCGGUGAAAUGCGUAGAUAUCGAGAGGAACACCUGCGGCGAAGGCGGGUUGCUGGGCUGACACUGACGCUGAUGCGCGAAAACCAGGGGAGCGAACGGG